GCCUCCUUGGCUCAGUGGUAAAGCGUCGCACUUGUACAGAUAAAUACAAGCUAUGGCUCACAUCCGUCAUGCGAAGAUCGGUGGUUCAAUUCCGCCAGGAGGCA